rnacentral:lncRNA from 1 species
AAGCAUCUUGUUGACACAUCUUCAUCACUUUGGAAUUUGAGCAACAACAUUUACCCCUUCUGAAACUCACCCAGAGGAAGCGGAUUUUCUGACGCAUAUGAAGAGUGAGAACUGUCUACAUCUAAGUCUUCUUUGAGAACAAUACCAGCUGAGCGGCUAUUUACAUUCCAGCUUCUUUUGAGAAUCUCUGAAGAUGAUUAAGUCAUUGUCAGCUGGCCCAGAACCAUAUCCUGCUCCACAAGCCUCGUCCUUGGCAAGAAGUUGCACCUGCCCAGAGAGAAAACCUUUUGAAACUGGCACAAAGGCACUGGAGAGACUGGCAGGGCCCCCUACUUGACGAUCUGGCUCAUCCAUCUGCACACUGACCACGCUAAGAGCUGUCUGCAGUGAUGGAAACCUUCUCUAGCUGUGCUGUCCUCUAUAGUGGCACUAGCUGCCUGUGGCUACUGAGCACUUCAACUGUGGCUGCAGAGACUAUGUUAAAUUGUAUUUAAUCAUAAUUAAUUUAAUUGUAAACAACUACAUGUGGCUAGUGGUUUCUGUACUGGGCACUGCAGGUGCACAUUUCCUGCCUGGCCAUGGACAGUAAGCUCCGUAAGAGACUAAUUGUGCCUGGUUUGCUUAUAGGCUUAUCCUCAGCACCUGCACCAGCCUAGAAUAUGAUUGGCACUCUAUUAAUUAAAAGUUCCCAGGUAAAUGAA